rnacentral:lncRNA from 1 species
AGAAAUACUAUACCUACGGAACAUUUGUCAAAUACAGUACAUGGAAAAUGGUGCUUUUGAAAUGCUUAAAGACCUUAAUACAUGUUGCAGGUCAUCACUAGGCAAUGACACUUAAAGAAGUGCAGGGUUCUAGAAGUACAUUAAGCGAAAAGUAUAAAACAAACCAGCAUUUGAUCUUUUGUCAACAUCGAUUAAUAGAAAACAGAAACAGUAUUUUACUGUGUUGAAGCACUGCGUUAAAAACGCAUUCACAUUCACAGAAACAAAUUUAUUCUGCUCGGGACAACAAGCAAACUGCAGGCAAAGGACCCAUGAGACUAGUCUCAACUACACACUGCAACAGGUGAAAAAUGAUGCAUCUUGAAGAGUUCUAGUUUCAUGACUUCACUUGCGGAGGAGAGUCGCCCUGCAGAGCUGGAUCUGAUUUGAUGGCAUCUAAUGUCUUGAAGAACUCCUCAGGUAGUGCAACGGGCCGGUGCUGCGGAACAUGCUUGGGAAUAGGUGUGUCAUCUUCAAUCACCUCGCAUUCGUAGUCAUCAGGAACACCCCAGGGAUCCCACUCUGCAAUGCAUUGCAACAUAUAGUAAUUAAAAUAGAACUGAUACUGAAAGCUUUUGUAUCAAUUAGAGAUUCUCAUACUGGAGACAAUAGCCUAAAAAACAGCAUUUCGGGCAUAGGCACAGUCUGAGAUCUUAACCCAAAAGAAAUGGAAGAUGGGU